rnacentral:tRNA from 2 species
GCCGGGAUAGCUCAGUUGGUAGAGCAGAGGACUGAAAAUCCUCGUGUCACA